rnacentral:rRNA from 1 species
AUGACAGUGACGCUCCAGGAUAUUGCUAUGAUCACCGGUCUUCCUAUCAAUGGGAAUCCUUUAUGUAUGAGCACCGGCUCCGAUGGGUGGCGCGCGCAGAUGCAUGCCCUUAUCGGUAUGGUUCCUCCGGAGCCUCCGGAACCAGCAGCAGAAAACAAGAAGAAGGAAAGAGUCGCAGACUAUGUUUGCUGA